rnacentral:rRNA from 1 species
GUCCACGCUGUAAACGAUGAAUACUAGGUGUUGGAUGCAUUAGUAUCCAGUGCCGCAGCUAACGCAUUAAGUAUUCCACCUGGGAGUACGAUCGCAAGGUUGAAACUCAAAGGAAUUGACGGGGCCCGCACAAGCAGUGGAGCAUGUGGUUUAAUUCGAUGCAACGCGAAGAACCUUACCUAGGCUUGAAAGGCAAGCGACUGGGUGUGAAAGCACCCUUCAGCAAUGGCGCUUGUACAGGUGCUGCAUGGCUGUCGU